rnacentral:rRNA from 1 species
GUCCACGCCCUAAACGGUGGGCACUAGGUGUAGGGCUCGUAAGGGUUCUGUGCCGAAGGGAAACCAUUAAGUGCCCCGCCUGGGGAGUACGGCCGCAAGGUUGAAACUCAAAGGAAUUGACGGGGGCCCGCACAAGCGGUGGAGCAUGUGGUUUAAUUCGACGCAACGCGAAGAACCUUACCUGGGCUUGACAUGUGAGUGGUAGGAAACUGAAAAGGGACCGACCCGUAGCAAUACGGGAGCUCAUGCAGGUGCUGCAUGGCUGUCGU